AGAGUUUGGAUCCUGGCUCAGAUUGAGGGAGGGGGGCGGGGGGAUGGGGUGCAAGUCGAGCGGUAGAGAGUUAAAAAAAAAAGGAAAAAGAGAGAGCGGCGGACGGGUGAGUAAUGCCUAGGAUUCUGCCUGGUAGUGGGGGAUAACGUCCGGUUCCAACUAAAAAAAAACCGCAUACGUCCUACGGGAGAAAGCUGGGACCUUCGGGCCUUGCGCUAUCAAAUGAGCCUAGGUCGGAUUAGCUAGUUGGUGGGGUAAUGGCUCACCAAGGCGACAAUCCGUAACUGGUCUGAGAGGAUGAUCAGUCACACUGGAACUGAGACACGGUCCAGACUCCUACGGGAGGCAGCAUUGGGGAAUAUUGGACAAUGGGCGAAAGCCUGAUCCAACCAUGCCUCUUGUGUGAAAAGGUCUUCGGAUUGUAAAGCACUUUAGGUUGGGAUGAAGCCCCUCAUUAAUACUUUGCUGUUUUGACGUUACCGACAGACUAAACACCGGCUAACUCUUUGCCAUCUCCGCGGUUAAUACAGAGGUGCAAGCGUUUAAUCGGAUUUACUGGGCGUAAAGCCGCGCGUAAGUGGUUCGUUUAAGUUGGAUGUGAAAUCCCCGGGCUCUGCCUGGAACUGCAUUCAAAAUUGGAUGAACCUAAGUAUGGGAAAGGGGGGGGGGAAUUUCCUGUGUAGCCGGUGAAAUGGCUAAAAUUUGGGAAAGGAAACCACCCAGUGGCCAAAGGCCGUCCACUCCUGCGACUUUGUUCUCUGGCCCCUGAGGUGCCAAAAGCGUGGGGAAGCAAACCAGGAUUAGAUUACCUUGUUAGUUCACGCCGUAAACGGAUGUCAAACUAGCCGGUUGGGAGCCUCGAGCUCUUAGUGGGCGCAGGCUAACGGCAUUAAGUUGACCCGCCUGGGGAGUUACGGCCGCCAAGGGUUAAAAACUUCAAAUGAAUUGACGGGGGCCCGCACAAGGCGGUGGGAGCAUGUGGUUAAAUUCGAAGCAACGCGAAGAACCCUUACCAGGCCCUUGACAUCCAAUGAACUUUCUAGAGAUAGAUUGGUGCCUUUCGGGAACAUUGAGACAGGUGCUGCAUGGCUGUCGUCAGCUCGUGUCGUGAGAUGUUGGGUUAAGUCCUGUAACGAGCGCAACCCUUGUCCUUAGUUACCAGCACGUAAUGGUGGGCACUCUAAGGAGACUGCCGGUGACAAACCGGAGGAAGGUGGGGAUGACGUCAAGUCAUCAUGGCCCUUACGGCCUGGGCUACACACGUGCUACAAUGGUCGGUACAGAGGGUUGCCAAGCCGCGAGGUGGAGCUAAUCCCAGAAAACCGAUCGUAGUCCGGAUCGCAGUCUGCAACUCGACUGCGUGAAGUCGGAAUCGCUAGUAAUCGCGAAUCAGAAUGUCGCGGUGAAUACGUUCCCGGGCCUUGUACACACCGCCCGUCACACCAUGGGAGUGGGUUCCACCAGUUCUCUUUUUUUGUUAUAACCUUCGGGAGGACGUUUACCCCCCCUCCUCCAGCCCCCCCCCCCUUUAAGUCCUAACCAAGGUAACC
rnacentral:rRNA from 1 species